UACCAAAUAAAAAAUGAGGUUCUGCAAAAUUUGGUUGAGGGACUUCAUGGGCUGUGCAUAAAGAAAAAGCUGUUUUCAGCAGCGGCCAGACAACCGUAGAGAUGGAUCCACAGGUGAUAGGUUCAAUAUACCAUUUGUCUACUGAUUCCAUCUCACAUGC